rnacentral:rRNA from 1 species
UAGGGAAUCUUCGGCAAUGGGGGGAACCCUGACCGAGCAACGCCGCGUGAGUGAAGAAGGUUUUCGGAUCGUAAAGCUCUGUUGUUAAGGAAGAACGAGUGUGAGAAUGGAAAGUUCAUACUGUGACGGUACUUAACCAGAAAGGGACGGCUAACUACGUGCCAGCAGCCGCGGUAAUACGUAGGUCCCGAGCGUUGUCCGGAUUUAUUGGGCGUAAAGCGAGCGCAGGCGGUUAGAAAAGUCUGAAGUGAAAGGCAGUGGCUCAACCAUUGUAGGCUUUGGAAACUGUUUAACUUGAGUGCAGAAGGGGAGAGUGGAAUUCCAUGUGUAGCGGUGAAAUGCGUAGAUAUAUGGAGGAACACCGGUGGCGAAAGCGGCUCUCUGGUCUGUAACUGACGCUGAGGCUCGAAAGCGUGGGGAGCGAACAGGAUUAGAUACCCUGGUAGUCCACGCCGUAAACGAUGAGUGCUAGGUGUUGGGUCCUUUCCGGGGCUCAGUGCCGCAGCUAACGCAUUAAGCACUCCGCCUGGGGAGUACGACCGCAAGGUUG